GACGGACCUAGGUGAGGACAGGUAUUUCCUGCCCAAAUGUUGCAUUUCCCAAGACCACCCUGGCCUGCCACGCCCCCAUCUUGGGCCUAUAAAAACCCGAGGCGCCCUACCCCCAGCAGGUAGACACAAAAAGCGGCUGAGCAUUGUGAGGAACACGUCGGCAGAGGAAGAUACAAGCCACUGGUCAUCGAGGGCACACUGGCAGAAGAGCACGCCAACAGGCACUAGCAGGUCGACAAGCCGGGCCAUAGACUGGUGGAAUGACGCGAAGUUUUCCAGGGGAAAACCAUCUCCCUUCUGGCUCCCCCAUCUGCUAAGAGUUACUUCUACUCAAUAAGACCUUGUACUCAUUCUCUAAGCCCGUGUGUGCUCCAAUUCUCCUGGUACACCAAGGAUGUUGCCAGUUCAAAAGUGCAGAAGCCAUACACACAGAGAAACUAGCUGUCACACAGAGGGUGAACAAGGAUUGUCAGGAUGUGACUAUGGAAGCCAGGAACUUGAAUGACAUGUGAUUUAUAUGAUGUAUUUAUUUCUCCCCCACUACCAUUCCUUGAGUAUACUGUUUUUUCCACCUUCAAUCUGAAGAAUUAUAGAAAUAAAAAAAGUCAAGAUAAUCAUUAAUGAAAAGGGUCAUUAGAAUGAUACCAAAUUUCAACUUCCAAUGGCACAUGGACACUGUAGAGAUCAAUGUGAUCUGAAAUUUUACUAACAGUUUUUAAUUACUGUCUCUCUUUAAAAUGAUCUGAUUGUAUUUUCCUGAAAACAAUAAUCAUCUAGAAGCAUUGCAAUAUCCAUAUUGUUACCCCCACCUUUUAUCCAUAUUGAUUAAGCUAUCUAUCCUGAGAUUAAAUUUACAAAAUAGAUUUAACAAGUUUUGGUGAUGUAAUAUAGCCUCCCAAUUAUGCAACUGUUACUCCUAAUAUUACCUAAGAAAGAUGUUUGAAUGGAACCACUGAAUUAAAGUCUUGGAAGAAUUUUAUUUAGUCUAGGGCUGAUUGCAUUUUAAUUUUUGUAAACAUUUGCUAGUUGUCAAUACUCACUUUUACUUCUUGAAAGACUUAAUAUACAUUCUGGGACCCUAAAG
rnacentral:lncRNA from 10 species